ACAGCACUUAGUCUUAAAUUGUUCCAUGGCCCUUUGCCUUCCUUCCACAUGUCUCUCUUUUCCUGGCAUCCUUUUUUCCUGGACACCCAAAUGUGUCCUCAUCACUUGUCCUCCCCCAUUUUGAUGAAAGGAUCUAUUAAUGAAGACUUACAUUUUCUGCAAAGGAUCAGAAAAGAAACAAGUACGUUAAGAAGAAAAGUCACAGUGAUUGUAAGAAGCAAAUCUACCUCUCAUUACAGAAUAAUAUUCAACGUGAUUCUGCUUUGCAUGUGGGAGGAUUCAGAAGUGGGUGAUAAAGAGGCUGAGUAAAUAUUGUGAUUCCUAUUAAGGAGGACUGGGCCAGGAUAAUGGAUGACAAAUCCAAGCUUCUGUAUUUUGUCACAGGUCUGGAAAAGAGAAACGUGAAGAGUGAAGAUGGCAUUCACUGGUUCAUAAAUCAAAAGACUUCUGACAUGUGUAGUCUGUGAGGGAGCCAAACUGAUCUUCCAAAUUCUCAAAACAGAAGGACUAGGCACAUGGUCACAGGAAUGGAAAUGUUAAAUUUAGUGAAUGUGUUUUUGGAAAACAACCUCAAAAUCAAGAUGAAUACGAUCUUCAAAGAACUUGAGAGAACUUUCUGGAAGUUUUGCUUCUGUAUCUUUCACUCUGCACAUCAUUGUUUAACAAGCACAUUGUCACAUUUUUAAUAAUUAGUUAAGCAUGGAACAAGUCACUCACUAACAAAGGAAUAAAAGUACAAGCAAAAAGGAAUGCACAUUACUUGAGGACAGUGGAGGGGGAUAUUUUCCAGCUACUCCAGAUUUGAAGGGUCAUUAGUCACCUUGAUGACCCUUGCAUGAAAAUAAUGAGCACACAGGCAGUAAGGAGACAUUCUAAUAAAAAUUAGGUGACAAUAGAAGGUAAGAAUUGUUCAAGAUAUAACAAAAAUCCCAAGUGAAAGCCAUAUGGAAAGUUCCUAACACAGAGACAAGAAUCUCAAAAGAAGGUGACACAUGUCUUCCAUAAGAGGCCAUUUCCAGAAAUGACACAGAAAUUAUGAAUGCCUCAUUCUUAUUUGAAAGGCCUGAAAUGCUUAGAAGACUGGGCUUUGGGUACUGUAUAAAAGUUGAAACCUUUAACUGUUAGCCAUUUAACAAUUUAAUCUUGCUUUAUUUCUAUUUUAUUGAUUGAUUAAUUGAUUGAUAGCAAGUUUCUGUAAAUCUCUUUGUGUUCAGUGUAUUUCUUUUUCAAAUUCGUUCAAGGUUAAUGUUCUCUAGAA
rnacentral:lncRNA from 1 species